AUGGGAAUUGUGAGGAUAGAAAUGAUUAACAGUCCAAGUACGGCAUAGAUCAACGUUCUUGUUGUUCACAUCAUUGAUAUUCCUUUCAAUCUAUUAAAUUUUAUUUUUCCUAUUUUCCAGAGUCCAAGGUGUAUUGCCACUUUCAAGCUACUUCGACGGGGUAAAACCCGUC
rfam:Nostoc sp. PCC 7120 DNA, complete genome.